GGUUAAGCGACUAAGCGUACACGGUGGAUGCCCUGGCAGUCAGAGGCGAUGAAGGACGUGCUAAUCUGCGAUAAGCGUCGGUAAGGUGAUAUGAACCGUUAUAACCGGCGAUUUCCGAAUGGGGAAACCCAGUGUGUUUCGACACACUAUCAUUAACUGAAUCCAUAGGUUAAUGAGGCGAACCGGGGGAACUGAAACAUCUAAGUACCCCGAGGAAAAGAAAUCAACCGAGAUUCCCCCAGUAGCGGCGAGCGAACGGGGAGCAGCCCAGAGCCUGAAUCAGUGUGUGUGUUAGUGGAAGCGUCUGGAAAGGCGCGCGAUACAGGGUGACAGCCCCGUACACAAAAAUGCACAUGCUGUGAGCUCGAUGAGUAGGGCGGGACACGUGGUAUCCUGUCUGAAUAUGGGGGGGACCAUCCUCCAAGGCUAAAUACUCCUGACUGACCGAUAGUGAACCAGUACCGUGAGGGAAAGGCGAAAAGAACCCCGGCGAGGGGAGUGAAAAAGAACCUGAAACCGUGUACGUACAAGCAGUGGGAGCACGCUUAGGCGUGUGACUGCGUACCUUUUGUAUAAUGGGUCAGCGACUUAUAUUCUGUAGCAAGGUUAACCGAAUAGGGGAGCCGAAGGGAAACCGAGUCUUAACUGGGCGUUAAGUUGCAGGGUAUAGACCCGAAACCCGGUGAUCUAGCCAUGGGCAGGUUGAAGGUUGGGUAACACUAACUGGAGGACCGAACCGACUAAUGUUGAAAAAUUAGCGGAUGACUUGUGGCUGGGGGUGAAAGGCCAAUCAAACCGGGAGAUAGCUGGUUCUCCCCGAAAGCUAUUUAGGUAGCGCCUCGUGAACUCAUCUCCGGGGGUAGAGCACUGUUUCGGCAAGGGGGUCAUCCCGACUUACCAACCCGAUGCAAACUGCGAAUACCGGAGAAUGUUAUCACGGGAGACACACGGCGGGUGCUAACGUCCGUCGUGAAGAGGGAAACAACCCAGACCGCCAGCUAAGGUCCCAAAGUCAUGGUUAAGUGGGAAACGAUGUGGGAAGGCCCAGACAGCCAGGAUGUUGGCUUAGAAGCAGCCAUCAUUUAAAGAAAGCGUAAUAGCUCACUGGUCGAGUCGGCCUGCGCGGAAGAUGUAACGGGGCUAAACCAUGCACCGAAGCUGCGGCAGCGACGCUUAUGCGUUGUUGGGUAGGGGAGCGUUCUGUAAGCCUGUGAAGGUGUGCUGUGAGGCAUGCUGGAGGUAUCAGAAGUGCGAAUGCUGACAUAAGUAACGAUAAAGCGGGUGAAAAGCCCGCUCGCCGGAAGACCAAGGGUUCCUGUCCAACGUUAAUCGGGGCAGGGUGAGUCGACCCCUAAGGCGAGGCCGAAAGGCGUAGUCGAUGGGAAACAGGUUAAUAUUCCUGUACUUGGUGUUACUGCGAAGGGGGGACGGAGAAGGCUAUGUUGGCCGGGCGACGGUUGUCCCGGUUUAAGCGUGUAGGCUGGUUUUCCAGGCAAAUCCGGAAAAUCAAGGCUGAGGCGUGAUGACGAGGCACUACGGUGCUGAAGCAACAAAUGCCCUGCUUCCAGGAAAAGCCUCUAAGCAUCAGGUAACAUCAAAUCGUACCCCAAACCGACACAGGUGGUCAGGUAGAGAAUACCAAGGCGCUUGAGAGAACUCGGGUGAAGGAACUAGGCAAAAUGGUGCCGUAACUUCGGGAGAAGGCACGCUGAUAUGUAGGUGAAGCGACUUGCUCGUGGAGCUGAAAUCAGUCGAAGAUACCAGCUGGCUGCAACUGUUUAUUAAAAACACAGCACUGUGCAAACACGAAAGUGGACGUAUACGGUGUGACGCCUGCCCGGUGCCGGAAGGUUAAUUGAUGGGGUUAGCGCAAGCGAAGCUCUUGAUCGAAGCCCCGGUAAACGGCGGCCGUAACUAUAACGGUCCUAAGGUAGCGAAAUUCCUUGUCGGGUAAGUUCCGACCUGCACGAAUGGCGUAAUGAUGGCCAGGCUGUCUCCACCCGAGACUCAGUGAAAUUGAACUCGCUGUGAAGAUGCAGUGUACCCGCGGCAAGACGGAAAGACCCCGUGAACCUUUACUAUAGCUUGACACUGAACAUUGAGCCUUGAUGUGUAGGAUAGGUGGGAGGCUUUGAAGUGUGGACGCCAGUCUGCAUGGAGCCGACCUUGAAAUACCACCCUUUAAUGUUUGAUGUUCUAACGUUGACCCGUAAUCCGGGUUGCGGACAGUGUCUGGUGGGUAGUUUGACUGGGGCGGUCUCCUCCUAAAGAGUAACGGAGGAGCACGAAGGUUGGCUAAUCCUGGUCGGACAUCAGGAGGUUAGUGCAAUGGCAUAAGCCAGCUUGACUGCGAGCGUGACGGCGCGAGCAGGUGCGAAAGCAGGUCAUAGUGAUCCGGUGGUUCUGAAUGGAAGGGCCAUCGCUCAACGGAUAAAAGGUACUCCGGGGAUAACAGGCUGAUACCGCCCAAGAGUUCAUAUCGACGGCGGUGUUUGGCACCUCGAUGUCGGCUCAUCACAUCCUGGGGCUGAAGUAGGUCCCAAGGGUAUGGCUGUUCGCCAUUUAAAGUGGUACGCGAGCUGGGUUUAGAACGUCGUGAGACAGUUCGGUCCCUAUCUGCCGUGGGCGCUGGAGAACUGAGGGGGGCUGCUCCUAGUACGAGAGGACCGGAGUGGACGCAUCACUGGUGUUCGGGUUGUCAUGCCAAUGGCACUGCCCGGUAGCUAAAUGCGGAAGAGAUAAGUGCUGAAAGCAUCUAAGCACGAAACUUGCCCCGAGAUGAGUUCUCCCUGACCCUUUAAGGGUCCUGAAGGAACGUUGAAGACGACGACGUUGAUAGGCCGGGUGUGUAAGCGCAGCGAUGCGUUGAGCUAACCGGUACUAAUGAACCGUGAGGCUUAACCUU
rnacentral:rRNA from 1 species